CCUGCAACUCGGCUGCACGAAGCCGGAAUCGCUAGUAAUCGCAGAUCAGCAUGCUGCGGUGAAUACGUUCCCGGGUCUUGUACACACCGCCCGUCACACCAUGGGAGCCGGGAAUGCCCGAAGUCAGCGGCCCAACCGAAAGGAGGGAGCUGCCGAAGGCAGGCCUGGUGACUGGGGUGAAGUCGUAACAAGGUAGC
rnacentral:rRNA from 1 species